CCGAGACCUCGCGGUGAAUGACAGACCCUCCCCUUGUCCAUCCUGGAAGCGCAGGGAAAAAAUGUGGCCUCUUAUUUACAGAUUGAGAAGCAUGAAGACUUCAGGGCAGUGCCAGCCAAGAGCCUUGCUGAGCAUUUGGCCCGUGUGGCUGGACAGGUGCACAGAGUCCAUCACCGAAUUAACGGAAGUUUGAGCAACUCUGGGAGAUAGUGAAGGACAGGGAGGCCUGGCGUGCGACCCCCAGUCCAUGGGGUCGCAAAGAGUCGGACACGACUGAGCGACUGAACCACCGAGUCCAUCCGCUCCUGGGCACCUCUGGGGGUGCUUCUCCCAUGCCUCAAAGGACUGUCACAUCCUUUCAGGAGACCAGGAAAUGGAGGCCCAGAGGAGCUGGGUAACUCGCCCCAAAUCAUCUGACCCUGGGCUCUGGCCCUCACUCGACGAUGGUCCACACCAGCAGGCUUUGAUGGCUCUGCCUUCCAGAGCGCCUGCAUUUUGCAAGGCCUGACUCUGAAGGGCAGCAAUUUACAUGGAAAUAAGUCCCCGGAAUCCAGGACCCCAGGUUUUUCAGUCCAUCGCAGGCUCUGAUUAAGUCAGGCGCGACAGGACCGACCUGUUUAGAGACAAUCCAGCCAAGCUCUUCAGAGGUCUCAGCUCGGAAGAAGUCGUCUCUGGCAUGCCCA
rnacentral:lncRNA from 1 species